rnacentral:rRNA from 2 species
UGACGCCAGUCGCAUCGCCGGGUAGCUAUGUUCGGAAGGGAUAACCGCUGAAAGCAUCUAAGCGGGAAGCCUACCUCAAGAUAAGAUUUCCCUAGGACUUUAUGUCCUCUAAAGAGCCGUUCGAGACUAGGACGUUGAUAGGUUGGAUGUGGAAGCAUAGUGAUAUGUGAAGCUGACCAAUACUAAUUGCUCGUGAGGCUUGACUAUACAACACCCAAGCAGUUG